UCCAUCCACAUCCCACAAAAGGAACGGGGAUAUUCAUGGAUUUAUAACAAACAUUUAUGUCGGGGUGAAUCCCUCUGCCAGUCAUUAUUUAUCUGUAAUUUAGAGUGGCCCAGCUAUGAGAAACAACCUCAGGAAGAAGAUGCAGCUGAAUUAAUCUCAUUUGUUUGCCAACCCACUGCAUUUGAUGACCUCAAAGGUCUUUUCCAGCCUAAACAACCCCAGAAUUUUGUGACUUUAGGUCUUCAAUUGGAUCCAGCUGGGAGCUUUUUGUUUCCUGGCUGAACCCCAGGUGGUUUCCAUGUGGGCAGAGGACAUCCCUCUGUAGGGGGACUCCUGCAGAAAUCCUUUUGGGGUUUUCAUUCUAAAUCCCUUUGGAAAAAUCCUUUGCAAUGCUGACCUCUGCAGGCUGAGGGACUGCUGAAAACCCCGGGCAGCAAUAACCUAAAUAAUGCAUGAACCAGGUGUUUUACUGCUGCUGGCUGUGGGUAGGAAAAGACUAUCAUAAAAUAAAAAAACCUUAUAAAUAAUGUAUUAAAAUGGG
rnacentral:lncRNA from 1 species